GGGGAAUAUUGCGCAAUGGGGGGAACCCUGACGCAGCAACGCCGCGUGGAGGAAGAAGGUCUUCGGAUUGUAAACUCCUGUCUUCUGGGAAGAUAAUGACGGUACCAGAGGAGGAAGCCACGGCUAACUACGUGCCAGCAGCCGCGGUAAUACGUAGGUGGCGAGCGUUGUCCGGAAUUACUGGGCGUAAAGGGCGCGUAGGCGGUUAAUUAAGUCAGAUGUGAAAACCCGGGGCUUAACUCCGGGAUUGCAUUUGAAACUGGAUAGCUUGAGUGCAGGAGAGGUAAGUGGAAUUCCUAGUGUAGCGGUGAAAUGCGUAGAUAUUAGGAGGAACACCAGUGGCGAAGGCGACUUACUGGACUGUAACUGACGCUGAGGCGCGAAAGCGUGGGGAGCAAAC
rnacentral:rRNA from 1 species